CCAUUACUAUGCCGACUAGGGAUCGGGUCUGUUCUUCCUUGAGCGCUAGGCACCGUACGAGAAAUCAAAGUCUAUGGGUUCUGGGGGGAGUAUGGUUGCUAGGCUGAUACUUAAAGGAAUUGGAGAUGGGCCCCACCAGGAAAGGAGCCUGCGGCAAUUAAUUUGACUCAACACGGGGAAACUCUCCAAGUCCAGACGCAUAUAGGGAUUGACCGAUUGAGAGCUCUUUCUUGAUUUUGUGGGUGGUGGUGCAUGGCCGUUAUGAGGUGGUGGAGUGAUUUGUCUGCUUAAUUGUGAUACCGAACGAGACCUUAACCUACUAAAUAGUGCUGCUAGCUUUUGCUGGUAUAGUCACUUUUUAGAGGGACUAUCGAUUUCCAUUCGAUGGAAGUUUGAGGCAAUAACAGGUCUGUGUUGCCCUUAGUCUUUCUGGGCCGCACGCGCGGUACACUGACGGAGCCAGCUAAAUUUAUACCUUGGCCCAGUGGUCUGGGAAAUCUUGCACCUUAUUGCUUGC
rnacentral:rRNA from 1 species